rnacentral:misc_RNA from 1 species
UAAUUCUGGUACUACUUAUAUUCCGCUGGUCAUUGAUGUUCGUUGCCGAUUUCCUUAAGAUCGCAAUCAGCUGACUGCGUGGCAGAUUGUGUGUUCUUGCGCCCUGCAUGUUUUGUACGUCCGCAAAUAUUUGAAACGCAUUUUUGUGAACCUAAAACAGCAGCAAUGGCCACCCGCAACUGGAAUCUGGAGUGCAAGGUGUAUGUUGGAAAUCUGGGCAACAGUGCUGCCAAGAAUGAGAUUGAAGAUGCCUUCAGCAAGUACGGUAAUCUGCGCAAUGUGUGGAUUGCGCGUAACCCGCCCGGCUUUGCGUUUGUGGAGUUUGAGGACCCACGGGAUGCUGAGGACGCUGUGCGAGGACUGGACGGAACCCGACUGUGCGGCGAGCGGGUCCGUGUGGAGAUGUCUUCCGGCAAGAGCCGCAGCCGCGGCGGUAUGCGCGGCGGCGGCGGCGGCUACGGCGGUGGUGGUUUCGGCGGCAGGAGAUUUCCAUCACACCACCACCCCUUGCCUCCGUCCAUCACACUUCACGGCCUAGCGUGGGUCACGUGACGCGGUCAGGUGACCCCUGACCCGCGACGUGACCCGGCCCAUCAAGGGACUCUCGGCUCACCCCCAUCUUGCGUCUCACACAUCGCCUCUUCGCGUCGUGUCACUCGUUUGCGUUAAUGGCCGCAUUAGCUACGUACUUGCUUCGUGGGCCCACCAUUCUCCGCUCCUCUGCGCUUCGCUCCCUCCGCUUAUGUCGAAGCAAGUAAGUGAGCACACCACCAGCGACGUAGAUGGGGAUGCUCAAUAUCGUUCGAUCAAUUCUCAGGUUAUACUGCAUAAACAGUUCUAAUUAUUCAAAUGUUAUAUUUUAUUUUCGAUGUUAUAAUUUAUAAUCAUGCUAUUAUUCAUAUUGACGCAGAUGGAGCGGAUUUCUAUGACCAAUCAUUCUCUUUCUGACAGGAUAAAUGUGACGUAAAGGAGCUGAGUAUAACAUAUAUCGAAACGCUGUGUUUCGUUAACUUUCCACCCUUUCAGAGAUAUCGGUGCCUUUUCCGUUCAUGGGACGGGGCCCGGUGCCAGGAGGCAGACUGGUUCCAUGUUAAAACGGUCAGUGAGCCAGUGCUCCGGUCCAUACCGGAGCCGUGUGUGUAUGUCUGUGUGCGCUGUCUGACACUGUGCCGUGUGCGUGUGUUGGUGCAGGUCGCCGGGCCGCCGCUCCAUCUCGCCGCGGCGCCGGUCACGCAGCCGCAGCCCGCGUGGUUCGCCCGUCUACGACCGCUACAGGAGCUAAGCGUUGCCGCUCACAAGCUGCCACCUGGGAUGGCGCCAUCCACGACUUCACUUCAGAACCUUGGUCCAGGAGCCGCGACUGAAGAGGUCCGCCACCACCGACACUGACCGCUGUUGUCACCGUUUGACGCCCCCGGAUGACGCCGGCACCCCCCUUACCCCUCCCCAGCGCCGCCCAUAUUCCCCCUCGCUUCUGAAUCGUGCGCGCUCAGAGGCCGGCCACGAGCCCUGCAGAAUAUCAGCUGUCUAUGAUCUGGCUGGUGGUGUAAUUUGCAUGACUGAGGAGUUCAGCUCACGGUAGCGGUUUGUGGCAUUCCAUUAUUUCAUCUGAGUUCGUGACGUCGGUGUGUAAACGUCAGAAAUACACGUCAUCUUCCGAA